GCCUUCGUAGUGCAGCGGUCAGCACGCUCGACGUGUAUUCGAGAGGUCCGUGGUUCGAAACCCGGCGAGGGCA